AGGGGUUUGUGGCAGAAACUGGUUUAUCAAGUUUGCCCCCAAACCUCCCUUGCCCCCUACGGCACACCCAUCAAGUGAUACAAUGGAAAUAUUUACAAGUUCCUGGUUUUCCAGUCAGGUAAUCACACUUCUUUGUCCUGAACUAGAGCACAAUCCAUUCCUGGAUGGUCUGCUAUUGUCCGUGGGAUGACUACCUGUCUGGCACCCAUUUGCCAGGAUGCCAGUGAUUAUCUCUUGUGCAAGAGGCUGCUGUGUAUGUGAUCCCAGGUUUCAAAGAUUAUGGCUUUCUUUACCAGUUUCCCAGGUCCCCCCUUUUCUCUGAGUAAAAUGAAUUUGGAAUGGCUCGAUCUGAAAUAGGCCUGAUUGUAUACGAAUAUUUGAAGGUUUUGAUGCAAAAGGAAAGGUGAAUACUAUGUAACCUUGAACAAGAUACAAUGUAGCAAAACUGUGGUGGGUUUAUGGGGAUAUUUACAAAAUUUAAUGGUGUUGGUUUGGGGGAUGGUCUGGGGGUGCAGCGUCCCAUUUAACUGGAAGCAACCCCCCAGCCUUUAUAAAAAUUCUGGUAACAGUGGUCUUCUGGAUAUAUUCCAAUACAUGUUGUAAGACAUAAAAUGUUUGACAAAGAAUGCAUUUUGGGAGGAAAUAAAUCAUGUCUCUGGGCAGGGCCUGCCUACAGAGCUCCUUGAUAGGGAAACAGAGCUCACAGGAGGCCAAGGUCAUGAAUAUAUAGUUGGAGCCCAUUGUUUUGUCCUGGGUGGGCCCAUAACUGAAGGUUGGGCCCAGCCAUUUCAGAUGGCCCCAGGGAGGAAUCCCAUAAUUUGAAGUAUGGGCACUCUCUUUGGGAUGGUUUCCGAGAGAAGCACUGUAUUUUGCGUCGGGGGUGAGCAAUAGAAGAAGCCCAGCAGUUUGGGUAGGAUCCAAAGUAUAGCCUGGCACAAUAGAGUCAUAGAAUUUAGAAUUGGAAGUGAACUUGGAGGUUAUUUAGACGGUAGCAGCCAGCCAGAUAGAGUGGGGUGGGACGCUGUUGCUUACCUGGCUUCUCAAUACAGUCAUACCUUAGGAUGAAUACGCUUCAGCUUAAAUAUUUUCAGGUUGCGCUCCGCAGCAACCCAGAAGUAACGGAGCAUGUUACUUCCAGGUUUCGCCGCUCGUGCAUGUGCAGACGCUCAAAAUGAUGUAACGUGCAUGCGCUGAAGCGGCGAAACACAACCCGCGCACACGCAGACGCAUCUUAUGUUCACUUCAGGAUGCGAAUGGGGCUCUGGAACGAAUCCCGUUCGCAUCCAGAGGUACCACUGUACUGAGGUUGCUGCCAGUACCUGGGAAAGUGAGAGGGAAUUGUAACUCUGUGAGGGGUAAACAACAAUGCCCAGAAUCAUUUGAGGUUGGGACAUGUGCUAUGAAUAUGCUUUAAAGCUAUAGUGUGCCUGCAGCCUACAGCUCCCACUAUCCCCUACUAUUGGCUGAUGAGAACUGUGAGAUAACCAACCUCACAUAACCAGCAUUAUUAAGUCUAAUUAAUGCAGGUAGGGGUUAAAACCAUAGAGUAAGCUGUCUUGCCAGGCAUAGUUGUGUCACUUCCUCUUAUUUUGGGAAGAAAUAGGUAAUCAAGCCUUUGUUCAACACCCAGGGUUGAACUACCUAAGCUCAGUGUGUGAAGAGGUAUGAGUGGGUUGCUCCAGCAAAGCCGCAUGGCUCUCACCAGCCUCUCUUGAGUUCCUAUACCAAUUAUUUAGAAACUUUCACCGCCUUGUAACUAAGCUACGUUUCACUGCUUGUGCAACUUUUCUGACUGAUAUAUGGAAAAUGACAUGAAGCAGACCUUUGAAGAGUUUAUAAAUACACCAAUUUUUAGCUUGCCAAAUAUGUGGUCUUUUCCUAUGCUGGAGGAAAAGGAAGGGCAUGUUUUAUAGGUUUAGAGCUUCAUGCUUUACUUUGCUGCAUAUUUUGUAACUUUUAACCUCUGCUGGGGGUAUUUCACCAAAGAUUACUUGCCCCAAACUUGGAUCUUGGCAUCCAGGAAUUCUCUUUUCUAUUUUUUCUUUUUUCUGCACCAACAGGAGGUGGAGUCCAGUAUUAUUUGUAGGGUCACAAGUUCCCCAUUCCUGGAGUAUAAGUUAUGGAAUAGCCUAAUAUAUUUCCCAUGAAAUCUGAACCUCGUACUAUUUUGACUGUGACCUGUACAUGCUGAUUCGAGAUGGAGUAAAAACCAGGCUUCAAAAAUCUGUGUCUCAUUUUCUAUCCAUAUCUCUCUCCCCCCCAUAUUUUUUAUUGAGUUUGUUUAAUAAUACAGUUAUUCAUUUCAUUCUUCAAAACAUAAUAAGAUACAUAAAGAAAAACCAGAAUAAUUCAACGUCUUUGAAAAUGACUUCCCUCCACCUCAUUGUGGGUCCUUACUUCUUUUUCUUUUUAACUGUGCCCUAUUUCACCUUUUAAUUCAUUGAUCUCAUGUGGCGUACAUUAUCUGUCUGUUAAGUAAUUUGCAAAAAUUAAUCAAAUUAUAUUAGAGAUUUUGUUUUGGAACAAUGUUUUUUUAAAAAUACAGUGGUACCUCAGGUUACAUAAGCUUCAGGUUACAUACGCUUCAGGUUACAGACUCCGCUAACCCAGAAAUAGUACCUCGGGUUAAGAACUUUGGAUCAGGAUGAGAAUAGAAAUAGUGCUCCGGCGGUGCAACGGGAGGCCCCAUUAGCUAAAGUGGUGCUUCAGGUUAAGAACAGUUUCAGGUUAAGAACGGACCUCCGGAACAAAUUAAGUACUUAACCAGAGGUACCACUGUACUCUGUAACACUCCCACUCAGUUUUAAAUUUUUGUUUUGUUUUGUUUUGUUUUGCUUCUGAUUGCCUCUGUCAUCUUUGCUAGUUCUAAGUAUUCACAUAAUUUAAUUUGCCAUUCUUCCUUCCUUGGAAUUUUCUCUCCCUUCCAGUUUUUGGCAAUCAACUUUCUUGCUGCUGUUGUUGCGUUCAGGAAAACCCUCCUCUUGUCAUUCGGAAUAUCAUCUGUCAGAAUGCCCAGAAGGAAGGCUUCCAGUUUUUUCAUAAAUGUUUGUUUAAACAUUUUUUUGGUUCCUCAUAGACAAUAUCCCAAAAGUUCUUAAUUUUUUUCACAGCACCACCACGUAUGGUAUCCAUUUUCUUGCACCUCCAGUAUAUGUUUGAAUUUGUUUUGUACAUUUUGGCCAAUUUGCUUGGGGUCAUGUACCAUCUAUAAAACAUUUCCAUAACAUUUUCCUUUAGUGUAUAACAAGCAGUAAACGUUAGAUCUUUAUUCCAUAAUUUUUCCCAAGCAGCCACCUGAAUGGAGUAACCAAAGUAUACUGACCAUUUAAUCAUCACAUCCUUCACUUUUUUUUUCUUUUUUCUUCCCAAUCUAGCAGCAGUCUGUACAUUUUAGGUAGUAUUUUCUUUUUAUUCUGUAAUAUAUCUUUUUCAAUACCUCUGCUGCAAACCCAUUUUUUCGAUCAAAUUUGAAAAUAUCAAUUAGUUGAUGGUACUGCAACCAGUCUGUGAGGUGAUGUCUGAUUUCUUCAAAUUUUCUCAAUUUGAGUUGGUUUUGUUCCUCCUCUAUAAUUUCUUUAUAGGUUGCCCAAUCCCCCCCCCCCCAGGUUUUUCCUCUUUACUGAGAUGGCCUCUAGAGGAGAUAACCACCAGGGUGUUUUUGGUUCCAAUAGAUUUUUGUACCUGUCCCACACCAUGUAAAGUGAUUUCUGUAUUAUAUGAUUUAGAAAACCCCUGUGUGCUUUUACUUUUUCAUAGCCUAAAUAGGCGUGCCACCCAAAUCUAUUGUCUCAUCCCUCCAAAUCCAAUAAGUCAGUAUUCUGCAAGAUCAUCCACUCUUUUGUUUCAGCAAAGACAGGACGCUUCAUAGUAAAGCUUCAGAUCUUGUAAUGCAAAAACCCCUCUAUUCUUAAUAUCAAUUAAUAAUUUAUGUUUAAUCCUGGUUUUCCCCCCCUUUCCAAAUGAAUUUUGAUAGCUCCCUCUGCCAUUCCCUGAAGCAUCCUGUCAUUGUCCCCCCACAACUGGAAUCAUCUGGAAUAGAAACAACAUCUUCUAUCAAUAAACUAUCAUGCCUCCCUUACAAAAGCUGUCCAGCAAGGAAUGAGAGAUAAAAUCUCUCCAGGAACCCCAAGAUUAGUGAUUUAUCACUCCUUCUGAUAUUUAAAUCUAAAACCAAAUAUAGGAAAUGGCCUCCUUGGAGUUCUAAGCAUUGAUGAUUAACUCAGAUUGUCUAUUUCCCAAGGGCUCUUAAAUCCCUUAAGUGACCUCUGGAUAGGGAAUGGGAAAAGGGUACAAUAGAGUGAUUCUUCCUUAACAUUGCUGGAUAUGACCUCUUCCUACCAGGCAUUCACGUUUGGACAAUGAAGCUCCCUCUUCCAACUCUACAAGGAAAAACUAAAUGUCAAAGAAGUUGUUUAAAAUGGACUCGGAGGCUGGGGGGGGGGUGGGAAGAGAGAGGGGAUUUGCCCUGGUGAUUUUACCACCACUUUACUAUUAGAAGCUGGAGUUGCUACUAGUUGCGGCCCCAGAAUACCAGCAGAAUUUAGCGAUCAGUUGCUGCUGGAAGAAUUGACAACCAGCUUGCUUCACUUUACCAUUCGAUGUUUUGAAGACAGCGCAGAAGGUAGAGCGGGGGAUGUCAACAUGGUGCCACCCAGAUGUAAUUGUGCUACAAGCUCCCAUCAUCUGUGACCAUUGGUCACGCUGGAGACUAACAAUACGAAGAGAGUGUGGACCAGUGGUGUACUCUAUAAAAAAGCAGCAGCAGCAACAGCAAAUUGUUGUGUUCCAUGCCUCUAGCCGUUUCAUUGAUUCUUAGGAGCUCAUAUGUGCCUCUUCCUUGCAGUAUCUUAUUUCCCAGGUUACAAAAAGAGCAGUGCUGCAUCUUAAUACAGUACCUCCAGAAUCACAAGAGCUAAAAGGCUGAAAUUCCUACAGUGUUUGACAGGUGGUAUUACCCUGGUGGAAGCAGGAAGCAGGAAUCAAGAAAGCAAAAAACAAAACAAUACAGGAAAUGAGGAGAGAGGCUCCUCUUCCUCUUCCUCCUGUUCUUCUCAGACUGUUUGACUCAGACUCCCUCAAUUUACUUUCUUAGACCGCCUUAACAACAAACAGAGUGUCAACUGAGUUAAUGUAUGAGAUCUUUGUGGAUGCAAGUACACCUGUGUACAAGAGUGGAUUGGAAGGACAAAUACUUAACAUGAUGGGACUCAGCUACAAGUGCCUUGAUCCUAACAGGAUGUGGAGCAAGCACUUAAUAAGGAAAUAAUAAUAAUACAUUGGUCUUCCAUUCAAACAAACCCCCAAAGGAAAAUUCAGAUGACCAUGUUUAAAAAAUGGUGAGGAGCCUGUGAAGAUGAAUUGUCAACCAGGUAUGGUGAACUGAUGGCCCUUUUCUCACCCCUGGGCUGCUCUUCCACCUUCCAUGAUGACAUCAUCUGAUUCUGAUUCGAAUAUUCUCCAGCCCCUUCCUCACAUUCUGCAGGGUUACCGUAGAGGCAGCAAUGAACAAUUUGUACCAUCGCCAUUCCGUCGUCCACUUCUUACCGGACGCUGGAUCCAUGAGAAGUGCAAGCACUGCUCUCCAUUGGUUGGUUUUAUGUUCGUGCUAUUUCAGCGCUCCUAUCGGCAUGGCAGGUUGGGAAUUGUUCAAUGAACUUGCCAAAACUUCAGUUACUCUUCAGUUCCCCUAACAGACAUCUUUGCUUUCCUGGCACCAACUGCCCAUGACUCCACACUGCCUUUUGCAUCAUAACAUUCUCUGGUCAGUUAGAAUCUUGGUGGUUACUGUGGUGACAGCAGUAAGGUGUGGUGAAAAAGCAAAUGGAGCUGAAAGCAAAGAGAGAAUACGAGGUACUAGAGGGAACAAGAACAAAUUUGAAGAAUGGCCUCUGAAGCCUAUCCCAGGUCCUCUUCGACACUGCCUAAGUUGGUGCCCCCUUCUGAUCCCUCCUCCCUGCUGAGGCCAGGACCCCAUUUUGUGCAAAGGCUGGCACCUCUCUCGCUGCCUAAGCAACCAUCUUCUUCUUUGUCUCAGAGACUUCCAGCCCAUGUGGGACAUCCAUUGCCAAAGCCAUCAGGCUCACAUCGACAUGAAGUAUGGAAAAAGAUCAAACUGGAAGAACGUCCUUUGAAGCCAAUCCCCAGGACCAAUCUGGUCAGCUUCAAUAGAGACACCAAUAAACAAUUUUAUGCCAUCGCCAUUCCGUUGCCCACUUCUUACCGGACGCUGGAUCCAUGAGAAGUGCAAGCACUGCUCUCCAUUGGUUGGUUUUAUGUUCGUGCUAUUUCAGCGCUCCUAUCGGCAUGGCAGGUAGGAAAUGGUGCCAUCUAAAUGUUCAGAUGCUCUGCUUUAUUGUCCCAUGAAGCAGACAGAGAAGCCAUCUGAGAAGUUAAGGCAGGGGUCUGCAACCUUUAAGACAAAAAGAGUCACUUGGACCCGUUUCCGAAGAAAAAAAAACUGGGAGCCGCAAAACUUGUCAUUAUAAAAAUAACUUUUUUGUCACUUUUUUAUUAUUUCU